AGACAGCCACAUCCUAGCACCCUGUACAAUCAGUUAGUGGCCUUCCCACCAGCGCAGUCACUCAUUCCUAUUAGAUCCCGAUGAAGCCAGGCCCUGGGGUUUCCAUUUUCCCACCUCUUAGGGGAAUUGGGUUCCCCGCGUCCUGUGAUAUGUCAGCAAAUGUCCUCAGCCCUGGCCUGCACAUGUGGCCUCAGUGGUGGUCUUUGGGGUUUAACUGACGAAUGGAACAUUUUGGAUCAGGACUGAUGGGAGAAUCUCCUUUCAUUUUUCUUCACCUGGGGCAAUUACAUUCUAAGGAGCGGAAUAAAGGGCAUGUUCUGCCCAAAGCAUCAGGGCUCACAGGUCAGUCACAGCCAUUUAGGGAGGGCAUGUCACCCAAGGAGGGCUCGCCCUUCUUUCCAGAGCAUCCUCCGCUCUCAGCAGAGCUGCUUCUGCCCACCCAUCCCUCUACUAUAGCACUGAGCACUGUUUGCCCGUGUCAGAAUCCCUCACCCACAUGUUUAGCUUGGUAUCCGAGUUUGGGAGGCCGGCAAUGACUUUCAACAUGAAUUGCUCCAUCUACCCAUCCAUGCAUUUGGCCUACUUAUCUUGACCCCGUGCUUUUGGCCUUUUCUUCUCCUGAAAGCAAACCCUUUCAUUUUGGGUGGGCUGUGUAGCGCCAUGGGCUGUGGUUAUGAAGCAAACACCCUUUCUUGUAGCUGCCUCCUCCGGGGUUACUGCCCUGAGCACGUCCCAGCUGGAUCUCGUCUGCCACUGUCACCCAUAGCUUCUUCCCCAUGGUGCUUUCCAUGUGUCACACACCACGACUGUGACCCAGGGUCGGGGUCAAGAGUAGCCUGGGGCCAAGCCCUCCCACCCAUGAGCGGAGAAGUCCUCCCCAGGCCUCACCUUGCCUGGCGCAUGGUCCCUCCCAUGAGCUUUGCUUUCAGCCUUUCAGCUUCCUCCACAGGGUGGCAGUGGUUGUAACUCAUCCAUUCAUCCCUUCAUCCCUUCAUUCAUUCACUCACAGCCAACAGACGUUUUUAAAAAAUUAGCCAGUGCUAUACUAGAGCUGGCUCCCAAGGACCCGCUGCCGCAUUGCCUUUUGAAACAAAACAAUGAACACGUUGGUAAAGGGGCCGUGCUUGUGUGUCGGUGACAAGGCGAGAUCCCUGAGUCAGGUCAGGCUUGUAGAUUCGAGUUCUGUUGCGAGUUUGAUUGCCCCUCUGACUUUGUCCCCUGUACAACUAGGUUGAUUAGGAAUCAGCCAACUGUGUUCCCUGGGUGCUCAGAAAUCACAGCCCAUAUCCUCGAGAGGCCAAAAUGAGAGCCAGGGGGUUCCAAGAUGAGUGGCUGCUUCUGGCCGGGAGCAGGUUUUCAAGUCAUUAGAACACUCUGGCCUUUCCUGGAGGUGAUCUUGGAGCCAUUCCUGCCCCUUUCAAGAGGAGUUAAUGCCCAGCUCUGUUUAGAGAAAAUUGGGGGAGAUGAUUGCUCAUGUGGGUGAUAAGAAUCACCUCCCGUGCAGGGGUCUGCAUAGAACACUCCAUAGGCAAACCUGGGUGUCCAAGGCACGUGGCAUUUUGCAAACUCUGGGUGCAGCUCCGAGCUGUCCUGCAGGUCCCAGACCAGGUGAGAACUCCCUGAGUUCCUGCUGCCUGGGUCGGGGGUGAGGCAUAGGUCUUGGGGGUUCAACCUGGAAUUCUGAAUGUCAUUCAUUGCAUUGGAGAGGAAGGAGAGUAGGCAAAGCCAAGACCCUGGAACUGGACAAACUCGUGUGGUUUAAAGUCACUGUGAGAGCUGGAGUUGAGUCUGCCUACGGGGGAGGACUGCGGCACCUACCUCGCAGGGCUGUUGUGAGGAGCAAUGUAACCGUGAUUUUGAACUGUGAUUCUGGAAGGGCGGUGUGCGUGUCCCCGGGGGUGUGCCAGGGGAGUGAGGAGAAAAGGCCAGGGAGACAGCCUCACUCAGGCAGCUGAGUGGGAGAGCAUUUAUCUCUAAACCUGGAGGGGUAUAUGGUGGGACAGGAGGAAUUUGGGCAGGAACUUUCAUGCUAGGGGUUUGGGGGACUCGCUGGACAAUGCCCCUGGACCCCCCGGGGGUACGCGUUCACGCUCACCUCUGAGAGGCUGGAAACGCCUGGCUGUGCUUUCUGAAUGCUGUGUGCUUCCUGCCUCUGUGCCUGGCCUGUGUGCAGCACCUACUUGUGUCCGCCUUCAAAAGGCCCUUCUGGGUGGCGUCCUUUUCCCCAAAAUAUUAGGCACCAGCCAUCAAAGAUACUGCAUUGUUGCCUCCCCCACCCCUCCCCCCAACUGACAACAUUUGGGCUCAAAUGCAGCAGGCUGGGUGCCCAACACAGUGCCUGGCGAGUGGUAGCGCUUACGUUUCUUUUCUGUUGAAUGGAUGGAUAGCUAAUGAAAUUGUAACCAAUGACAAGCCUUGAUGUUUAUAACCUUUACUAAGAGAUUAUUAUUUUGCUCUUCAUGGACCUGUUAACAACCACCAUAUUGUAUCUUACGGACGUUUGUAUGCCACGUUUGAAGAGCAGGAGCCUUGUUUCGGCGUCAUGUUGAUGGAACUUGAGCUGUCUGAUGCGAAUCUGUGUUUUAUGUUAGAAAGCGCGUAGCCUUAGGAUCUGGCAGACCCAGGGGCCACUUAAUUAACCCUUUGCCUCUUUGACCCUCAAUCUCCUUUUCUCUAAGCCAUAGGUCACCUGAAAGCCUACCUCACAGGGCUGUUGUGAGGGCCGAGGGUGGGUGUGUUUCAACAGUGUGCAGAUGCUGGCUUUCCCUGGGAAUGGGCAUAUGUUGGGAUUUGUCUUGAAAGCAUGAGUGAUGGCUUUACUAGUCCUAAGUGAAUAAAAAGUCAGCCCUGACCUUACGCUGGGAUUGCAUUUCCCACAGUCAGUGGCAUGUGCAGACCACUGGCAGAGCAGCCUGCAGGUGCUUAGCGAUGUGGGCCCAGAGUAAAUAUUUGUUUGAUUGAUG
rnacentral:lncRNA from 10 species